rnacentral:rRNA from 1 species
GACGAACCGUCCAAACGUUAUUCGGAAUCACUGGGCUUACAGAGUUCGUAGGCUGUCUGGAAAGUUGGGUGUGAAAUCCCCCGGCUCAACUGGGGAACUGCACAGGAAACUAGCGGGCUUGAGUUCGGGAGAGGGAAGCGGAAUUCCGGGUGUAGCGGUGAAAUGCGUAGAUAUCCGGAGGAACACCGGUGGCGAAGGCGGCUUCCUGGACCGACACUGACGCUGAGGCGCGAAAGCUAGGGGAGCAAACGGG